AAGAACAGUGGCAAUGUUCUAAGGAGGAAACUUAAUUUUACUAAAUAUGAUAUUGGAAUGCAAGAUAACACAAUAUAAUACAAUACAACUGGAAUUGAGGCUAAUAAAUCAAAUAAAAUUAGAGAGAUGAGUGUCCAAAACCAAAAGCCUUACCAUGAACCGAAGGCGCACAGCUGGGGAGCACAUCCACACACUGCUAGGCAGUGAGCGAGACAGAGAGCCCUGCGACUUCCUUCCAUGACAUAUCUUCUCCUCUGAAUGCGAAGUCCUCUGGGAUGUGUCAUUCUUCUCUUCUGAGAACCAGCCCAAGACAAUUAUUCUUCACCUAAUGCCACCCAGGCAAGCCAGAAGAUUGGUGAUGCUGAAAAGGCUCAGCAACAUUCUUUUUUUAAACAGGCUAGUAGCAGAGUGGAGAUCUUCCCGAGGUGUUGAGGAACAGACACAAGCUUCUUUUGAAGGCUUCAAUGAAAUUCUGCGACAGCAGUAUCUGCAGUAUUUUGAUGCUAAAGAAUUUUGAUGGUGCUCGUGUGGAAUGCAAGAAAUUGAUUUAAAUGACUGGCAGAGGCAUACCAUCUACUGGCCUUAUACCAGAACCAGCAAACAGAUCCUGUGGUUCUGGCAGUUUGUGCAAGAAAUAGAUAACGAGAAGAGAAUGAGACUUCUACAGUUCAUUACUGGAACAUGCAGAUUACCAGUGGGAGGAUUUGCUGACCUCGUGGGGAGCAAUGGACCCCCAAAAUUUUGUAUUGAGAAAGUUGGGAAGGAGAACUGGUUACCUAGAAGUCACACCUGUUUCAGUCGCUUAGACCUUCCACCCUAUAAGAAUUAUGAGCAGUUGAAGAAAAAGCUGUUAUUUGCAAUUGAAGAAACAGAAAGAAGGUUUUGGGCAGGAAUAGCUAUGAUUUGCACCUUGGAGAAUGUGAACUCAACACAGUGUUGUUCUUCGCUUCUUCUGCUUGUUGCACGCUUCAUUGUAAAGUACACUUGACUUGGAUUUAUGUACACUAUUAGUGUGUAAGUCAAUGGAUGUUAUCCUGAAGUUUUCUCUGCAUUAACUCUGGAUUUCUACUGAGCACUUUCAGAAAUCAAAAGAGCAACCAGAUAUGGCUACAAAGGAAUUAUGAUCCAAGGAGAGAUUUAACACAGUUUUGGGCUCUACUUUGUUUUACUUUUCAUUACUUAGAAUGUGUCCUUAAUGACUGAAAGAUUUUUUUUAAAAUAGUUUUGUCUUUCCUUUUUAGUAGCAUAUUUUGCUACUGACAUACUGGGAAGUUCAUUAGCAGCUGCAAUGCUGCAGCAACAUCAUAACCUCUUUACAGCAGUGUUAUUAGAGCCAACUUGUAGCUGUCCUCUGCCUACUGUGAGCAAAUUCAUAGCUUAAGUUACGUUUCUAACUCAAGUGUGGCUGAACUGUUUUUUCCUUGCCUGGAGUCUGCUCACAUGCCAGUGGGACUCAGACUGCUGUUAAAGGGAUGUCAAACUGUGGCACAAAUCCAGAGCAUAGCUUUGCUUUGUUUUUCUCACAAUCUUGUUGAUUUCUGAAAAAUAAAUGCUUGCCCAAAGUUGCUGGAACAUUUGAUUGUGCCCUUCAAAGAGUUCUCAUCUUUUUUUCUGUGUAACACAUCUAACUUUUAAAACUAUAUUAACACUGUGGUUCUUCAUUUGUUUUGCAAAAGACAAGACCACCUGGGAUUGCAUGGAUGCAAUUUAGAUUCCCAUUUGCAGUCUGAUGUUUCUUGUCGGAAGUGUUAAUGGAAAUUAUACUCAGUGUUAUUCUUCCAUGCUGCAGACAGUUUUCUCUGAAGACUUCAUUGGUUUAUCAGGAAGAUGUACCAAAUAACUGGAUUUUAAAAAUGAUAAUACUUACCAUUUUUGGUGAUGAACUGAUAAUAAAAUAUUAGCUAGAACUUGGAGGACUUGAAAGUUUGUACAUGGAUUCCAGACUUUCAACAUUUUGGAGCAUCAGAAAACAGUUCCAUAAAGAUUAGAACAAGUUCUUGGGGCGAGUUUCUAUUGUAGCUCACCCUACACUGCUUACACAGCUAGUAACUUUUGUAAUAAGUUCUUACUGAAAUAAUAACAUCUUUUGCUUCCUUUUAUAAUCUGUUAAUAUUCACUUCUAUUCUGAUUUACAGUGACAUUUUAUUGCUCUUUAGACUGAAUUCACUUUUCAGGUGUGGUCAGCUCUUUUCUUAUUUGACGGGAGGAAAAUAAACUUCUUUGAGUCGCGCUGUUAGCCAUAGUCAGAAAUGAACUUGAAGUAGCAUGUAGCACGAGUUAAAGCAUAACUGUAGCUCAAAGCACUGGGACAGCAGCUGUUUCGAAGAGGCUUCUAUAUGCUGGAGCUGAAACAGGACAACGGGAAACUAAAACUGAACCUCCAGUCUUGAAAAGAGUAUUUCCUUCUUUCUUCUAAACUACAAGAGGGAAAAUCCGAUUCAGGCCUACUAAGAACCAAGACAUUACAGUUUUAACUCGUUUAAAGAGUUUUUCAAGUCAAAGUGGUACAUGCUCAUUGGAAAGAAUGAUAAGACCUUAGAGUAAAUGCCUCCUUUUGUCAUGUAUAUUCUAACAAGAGCAGUGGAAAAGAGUUUCUGAUGAUACAGGGAUUAUCCUCUUUUACCUUUUCACUGGCUGUGAAAGCUAACCUUGCUUCACUGUUUUACCAGGAGGAAAAUCUGCCGAUUUCAAAACAUUUGAUGGAUAUUUUACCGUAUGCAGCUCACAAGGAGAAGAAAAAAGCCUUGUAAACAUUCUGUUUAUGUUAAUUCUUACAAUGAAAUCUAGUUAUCUAACAUAUUUACAAGAGAGAUUAAAUUAAACAGGAUAGCGCAAGAUUAAGCUGUGAAAAAUAGUUUGUGUUCUGCAUAAUGCUUUAUGAUUCAUGUAGGGAACUAAAAUGUUGUUAAUGUAUAAGUAUCUCCCAAAAGGCUUUCAGCCCUAUAUUUUUUAAAUAGAAAAUAGUUAUAAUUGAAAUAGCCUUAUCCCUAGUUCUGUAGGGUAUGGCUGCUUAAUAUUUUCAUGGUUGAAAUGUUUAGUUCAGGAAAAAAGGUAUGUGCUUGUAUAUGUUCUUGCAGUCUCAGAUUCCACUUACUCCAUUUUUUCUGUCUUUUGUUUAAGUGACAUGUUUGUGUCCUUUCUGCUUUAUUAGGAUGGGGAGAGGGGACUGGAUAUCCCAAGCACCAGAAAUGGUUUUAAAAUACUGCAAACAAGGAAUCAGCUGGGAAAAAAGUCUGUGAAAGGCCAAAAGUUAAAGCAAACCUACUAGUGUGUUGAAUUGACAAUGUCCUUGAAGUCUGAAGUAAAGUUUACUUAAACAUUGUAAGCUAACAAGUCUGUUAAUUUUUUAUAGCAUGUUCUGUAGAGAUAAAAAGUUGUUAAUAUGAACCAACAGUGCACUUCUCUGUUCUUUAUGGGGAUGUGGUGGAAACAUCACAUGGAUAACCCACAACAUCUGCUAUCCCAGAUAAUAUUGGACUUUCAGCAGAGAUUAAUAAAUUUGUCUCCCACUACUACCCCCACCACUGCUUUAGCAGCUUGAGCUGUGUAAAUUUAUACUGCAUAACAACUACAUAUUCAUAUGUAACUGCCAAUUAGUCCUACUUUUCAAGCAUUAAAAAAACUCCUAUUUAGAAUUUUGCCUUAUGAGAAUGACAUGAAAAAAAUGAAUGAAAUGCUGCGCUGCUGAUCUAAGAACUAACAAAGCCUUAUUGCUCCAGGUAGCUCAGGAAAUGUUUGUAUAUGAAAUUGUACAGUAAAUGUGUCAUGUCUUCAUCUGAUCUAGCAUUGGAAGCUUAUAUUUUAAUGCAUAUGUUUGUGUUCCAGA